rnacentral:rRNA from 1 species
AGUAGGGAAUCUUCCACAAUGGGCGAAAGCCUGAUGGAGCAACGCCGCGUGAGUGAAGAAGGAUUUCGGUUCGUAAAACUCUGUUGUAAGGGAAGAACAAGUACAGUAGUAACUGGCUGUACCUUGACGGUACCUUAUUAGAAAGCCACGGCUAACUACGUGCCAGCAGCCGCGGUAAUACGUAGGUGGCAAGCGUUGUCCGGAAUUAUUGGGCGUAAAGCGCGCGCAGGUGGUUUCUUAAGUCUGAUGUGAAAGCCCACGGCUCAACCGUGGAGGGUCAUUGGAAACUGGGAGACUUGAGUGCAGAAGAGGAUAGUGGAAUUCCAAGUGUAGCGGUGAAAUGCGUAGAGAUUUGGAGGAACACCAGUGGCGAAGGCGA